GUGGGUGAUACGGAUUUUGGGUGAGAAGUAACUGGUUCUGGGGAUUUCACUCGUUUUGGAGCCUUACUGGUUUCUGGAGAUUUCACUCGAGGCUCUGGGGAUUUGACUCUUGGUGGUGAUGUCACAGCCUUUUCAGUAGCCCUGGCCUUUUGAACAGUCAGAGUAAACUGUGCUUCUUGCUUCCCUUCACUGUUUUCUACCACCACGCUGUAGUUGCCCUCAUCAGAAGCCUGGACUGAAGAGAUCUCGAAGGUCGAUUUGUACUUUGUGGUGGUCACUUGGUGGCGGGCAGAGGUACUUAUCACUUGUCCUCCACGCAGCCAGAUCACAGUGGGUACCGGCUCACCAUCUGUGUCGCAAGAAAACCUUGCGGACUCGCCUUCAUACACGGUUAUGGACCUUGGCUUUGUUAGAAUUCUUGCGGCCAGAGUCAUCUUGAUCUUUCUGUGUGUGGAUUUUUCUUCCAGCGACUUUUCUUCUACUGCAGCGCUUUUCAUUUCUGCAGAGGCGUGGUGUUCAUAUGCUAAGAGACUUUCCCUUGUCUCUGUCAUCUGUGACUUCACUUCCCUGACCGAAGAAGAAGCUUCCAUCUCAGAUGUUUUCUUAAAUGAUGAAACCGCAUACUCCUCUGUUCUUGUUAGCUCAGGGAAGACAGACCGGGGGACCUCUUCGUCUCUGCGUCGGGAAGCAUAGGUGGUGUAAUCCCCGCCUGUUACAUCCAAGGUCGCGUAGUCUGAAGCCUCACCUUUGUAGUUGG
rnacentral:lncRNA from 1 species